rnacentral:lncRNA from 1 species
CAUUUGAUGCUGCUGCCAGUUUUAUUAUUGUUAUUAUGCUCAUUAAUAUUAAUACUUAGCCAUCAUACCUGUUUAAGAUUGAAGAUAGAAAAUCAGGGUUUUUGCUGAAAUCACAUUGGCAGAUAUAGGAGGAAAUAAAGUAAGCACCCCCCACCCCCGCUCCCCUAACAAUGAUGGUCACAGCACUGAUCUGCAAUCCCUUUCACACACUCUGAGCUGCACAAACUCUCUCUCCCAGUGGCUGUAAAUCUGGAACCGUACUCAGGUUUCCCCCCAUUUCAUCCUGUCUGUGAGAAGGGUGGGGGUGGUAUGUAGGUGGGGCUUGAAGCCCACUUCAAGCUACCCGAAUAAUUGUAAUAUUUGGAAAUGUAGUAGAUUGCUAAUGGUUUCUUCUUUCUUAUAAAAAAAUCCAAAUUUGCUACACCAUCUAUAUUUUGAUGACCUGCUUAUGGCCUCACAAAUUAUGGGCACCCUGGUGCUGAUCCUGAACAGGUCCCAUGACUUGUUCCCUUGAUGAUCUGUCUAGGUAGUUACUGUCAACAAUACACAUUUAUGUCACAGCAUAUGAUCUUGUAGAAGGAGUUACUGAAAUGCUCAGGGAUUCUUUAAUUUAAAUUUUCCCUGUUGUUACUGGAUGAGGCCUCUGACGUCAGUCUUGAUUUAGUU